CCGUCACAGCCGUGGCGGCAGCUACAUGCAAAGGAAAAAUGCUAAAGCUAGUGAAAAUGGAGCAGGAAUAUUAAGGAGCUACAGCAGCUUCACGUCCAUCAGCAGCGUUUGUUCACAACCGUUUUCAGGUCAGCAUGCACUGUGCUGAACAUCUGCAUCGGUGCUGGUGAAGUUGUGGGUCUGGAGGAUGAGCCUGAGGAAGAUGUGUGUGGAGGAGGUCAGUGGUGCUCUGUCCUAGAGGAGGUACCAGCAAACCACCACUACUGUUAACAGGCAAGUCAUUCAGAGAUGUAACAGCCGUCGUCUGAGCCAGCCCAGCGGUCCCUGUAGAUGGACGAUGGAGUGGACAGUGAGAGGAAGCGUCCCAAAGCUCUCUCUGCAGACCGUCCUGUAUGAUGUUCCUCUGACCAGAAACGUCCAGCCACGGGUCUGCUCCAGCCCUCCAUCCACGUCUGGAUCCUCCUGCAGCAUAUCCAGCUGCACUGUUAAAGACUUCCUGCUCACUCAGUUUAAAUAAAUGAUCCAGGAAGAGUCACUCAGGUUAAUCCUGCUUUAACCAUACAAAACUGGUCCAUUCUGGUUUCAAUAUGUAAAUAAGUGUAACCUAUUAUAAAUAAUCUUGUCUCCUUAUCAUCUUUUCAUUUUCUGUUCAUGUAACAUGUUCAAAAAACAUCUGUAAUAAUAAAACUGGUGAUAAAAUCAAUGACCAGAAAGUUAUUAGUAUUUGUUUUAAUAAAUGUGUUCAAAUAUCAAACAGCUAAAUAACAUUAGCAUGAUGACAGUAGAAGGCCUCUCUCCCAGGAUGACCACCAGGUAAAGCCUCUCCUGACCCUGGACACCUGCAGUCCUACAGAGAAAAUCAGAUCACAGGUGACAAAAAGGCAAUAAACACUUUUUUACAUUUAUCCACAUGAGAAGAUAAAAAUUCUAUUCUUCACACAAACUAUUUUUACUUCAUUAAAACGUGUCAGCUGUGUAAAUCCCUGAAUGUAAAACUACUUUUCACAGAAAAACUUCUGUGGCUGUGUGUAAACUCUUCACCUCUAAGCUUAAUAAAAAUACUUCUUUGCUCCGUUGUCCUUAAAACAAAUGACAAGUUUAAUUCGCUACACACACACGCACACACGGGAAUAACUGGGACCCGCGAUACAAACUCGCUCUGGCUGAUUUCUGCUAAAAUGUAAUUUAAAAAACAAAUAUACAAACGAAAAAUGCCUAUAAACUGAACCACUUUAAGCUUUUAAGGUUUCUAUGGCUAGCUUUUAACAAACUUACGUUUAAAACGUUGUAGCUCUCCCCAUUUUCUCUGCCUGUUGAAAAUCCACAGCCGGCGCGCAAAGCAUGCUGGGAUAGCCUUGUUCUGUGAGGAGACAACAGACCCGUCCUCGAAAUGUGGGCGGAGUGAGGACGCGUUUGAGGACGUGAGAAUGAGUAUUCUUGGAAUUCGGACAGUACUCGUCGCUGCGCUGUGACGUCAUCGCACUUUUACAAGCAUCCUUCCCAUGGAUUUGGACACACCCAAUGUGUCUUGAAGGUCUGGUCAGCUAGGUCCAAUGAAUGCCACAGUGGCUGGUUUCCCAGCUCUCAGCCUUUUAAUGGGCGCAGUUUGUAGUAGUCCUGCAAAGCCCGGAUCAUAUCACUUACCUGGCACUGCUUGGUGUGUUGAAGGUGGGUGUGUUUGGGUGUGGUCACAGUUCUGCUCAGCAUGUGAAAUCAAGCUCAAACGGAAAGGUCAGGUGCUCUGAACACACACUGAAUUACUUCAUUCACAGCAGAUCAGCCAGAGCAACAUUUAACAUUUUAAGUAUAAUUAUCAGAUCCAUUCACACUGAUUGCAUUUGUUCAUCUAAAAUUGCAAAUAGUGUGACUUUUUGGUGUAAAUCUACAUCAAUUGGUCCAAAUGGCCACAGCUAAUAAUGUUUCUGGCUGUCUGCAGCUUUAAAGGUGACAUUCCCAGGUGGGUUUGUGUGACUUGAGGUAACACAAUCCCCGUAAUCUCUUUUUCUGAGGCACAUUUUAAUUGCUUACCAGCCUCGAGCUUUUUUUCCCCUUCACUUAAGCUGGAAAGUAUCACGUUCACACCGUUGUCCAUUCAGGCUGUGCGUUUGUUAGCAGGAUAAAAUGAGCAUGGAAACAAUUAAGGUUGUUAUUACUCUCGGCUCCUGCUCUGUGUUGUAAUGCUACCUUGUACUGUGAGUCAGUGAGAGGAGUUAAUGCACCAGAACCAUACAGACAUGGAUGUUUUAGGCCACUGUUCCCCUUGUUUCUAAAGGAUUAAGUCACUUGGAUGUGGUUUGUUUUUCUUCUUAACACGGGUGACUGGUAGCUGUUGUAAUUGAAGCCUGAGGGUUCAGUUUAGGUCUCUGUUAAUGAUUUGACAGCAACUCUGCUUGAAGAGACCUUUGCUUCCAUCAAAAUUUGACCUUAUUGUCUGUAAAGUUUCUGGUUGCCUGCUAAUUUUAAUUCUUUUAAAACUGUUAUUACAUUUGUAUUUCUGGUAUGUAUGUUUUUGUUUGGAUUUUUUUUAUUAAAUAUUUUUUGGCCAUUUGAGGUGUAAAGCUUUCCUUAUUGUCUCUAUCUAGUGUCAAAGUAUCAACUUUGCUGGAUAACUUUUGCUUCAACUUGUACUUGUGCAUUACUUGCACACAUAACUACAGCGUAGAUAAUUUCUAAUAUUUUACUUCCACAUAGACACUCAACCCCACAGUUGAGUGUAGACACGUACUCAGACACCCUACGAUGGAGACUUGCUGCACUGUUUUCCCAAACUAACUCCUGAGACACACAAGGCAAAAAGCCUGGUGCUCACUAUUGUGGGACCGAGCUGAAUAUGCAUGUCUGCAUGAACAGUUUCUGUGACUUCCGGCACUUUUACGUCUGCUGAGUUGUCUUCCUUAAACCACUGGGUAGGGAUAUACAUAGUUAACCGGUUCAUUUCUGUUAAUGCUGAAACUGAUUAAAAUAGUUUUGCCCGGUUAAUUGCUUCAAGUCCUUCUGCUGUACUUGGAUGUAACAUAUUUUGUGCCACUAGAGGGUGCAAGAGCGUCAUUAUCAAAAUGUUUACUGGGCAACCACAGAAGAAGAAAUAAGCUCGUCACAUGACCAAACAAAUGUGCUCAAACCAUGUAGCGGUUAGCAAAGAGCACAGCAUGGGAGCCGUUUAUUCUUAGUUAUUUCGUUCUUGGAACACAAUAAGGUUCGCAUCACAGCGCUGAGCCUGGCAGAACAUGGCACAACAAACUGAAGCGAAACCGGCAACAGCAGAUCAGUCUGCCAUGACGUUCCUGCUUGCGUCCGUCUUCUAAUCUGUCUAAAAGAAUAAGGAAAAGUGUAAAGAGUAGGGUUAGGGUGAGUUGGUUUCCAGUUAACCGGCUAUUAACUGUUGAGGGGUAUCAGUAACCGGUUAAAGAAAUAUUGGAAAACGUGCAUUCCAACUACUGGGUGUCCCGUUGUCUGUCUUUUAUUUUAUUUAUUUUUUGAGGAAGUAAAUUGUUGUUUUACAGCAUUUUACACUAUCUGAAUCUUUCUAAAUAAAUGAGUCCCUAAAUGGGACAAAUAAAUGGUUUAUAAGAGGAAUCAACUUUUGUACUCAUUUACCAUUUUCUUUACAAAAGAAUAGGAAUUUUUUUUUUUUUACUUAAAAGAAAAGUUAGUCUAGAGUGUUUAUUUAAAUAUGUAAACAGUUAUUAUUAAAACAAAUGUAAUUAAACAGAUUUUGGCAAGUUUUUUUCAUCUCUAGUCAUGCGUUUGUCGUCAGCUUUACUGCUCUGUUUACCUAAUGAGCUCUUUGCUGUUAUCCACGCAAGAAUUUCCGAUUUGUUUAGUGUGUCCCAUUUGAUACGUCGCUGCACCUCAGAGAAAGUGGGACAGCGAGUUACAUUCCAACUGCAUGAAAAUCUUUGUGCUUAGAGUUCAAAGAUCCAUCAGAGACCUAGAAUGGAUAAAAAUUAAUUGGUUGCAGCAAAAGGGUCGUUUUACACUGAACAGAUUUGUUUAUUUAAUUUCAUUUGUAUUUAAAGCAUUUUUUUCUUUAUUUACAUGGACAUUUUGUGAAAGACUUCACAUUUAAGUAAGCCUUCUAGACUUCUGGGCCCUCAUUUAUUAAAUGUUCAUAGAAAAUGUCGUAUUCCUUCCUACGAGUGAAGUUUAGAAUGUUCGAACAAACGGGAAAAAUCCUGAUUUGUCAGGGUUCAUGCGGGGUCUUAAAGUCCUAAAAGCAUUGAAUUUAGGAAUCUGGAAAUGAUACCUUAAGUCUUAGUCUUGAAUUUUGACAACUGGGUCCUAAACUUUAUGCUGAAUGUAAGUUAUCUGUACUGUAUUUGUCCUCUGGAGUUUCAUUUGUCACAAACAAUAAUUUGUAUUAAUUAAUGUAGCAUAAAUAAAGAGUGGCAGAACCAAUAAUUGAGAACGCAGUGCAGCCUCAGGUCAAAAUUCUCUGAACGCAUGAUGUAUUCAGUUCCCACGCUACAGCAGUGAUGCAAAACGGUAAACAUAACACAGACCACACAGAGCUUCAGCAGAGGAAAAACACGUAAAAUCUCAGCCAUAGAAAGGUUGACUGACUCCUAGGGCUGGGUGCCAGAACUCUGGACCUCUUUGGGAAAACAUUCGAUAGGUACCGAUAUCAGAAAAGAUGUUAAAAUGUGCCACCGCGGGUCACAUGACUGAUCCUGAGUGACGUUAUGAGUGGAAGAGACGCAUCUCCUUUCAACAACACUUCUCUGCAGUUCGCGGAUGAAAAUGCUAAAAAAUAAAAAAAAAUACCCCAAGUUUGGGUGCAUUUUUCUAAGGUAAGCAGAACACCAGUGAGAAGAUUUGUGCUGCGAAAAUCAGGAAUACCAGCAAGUGUAUGUUUGGUGGAGGGGUCUCAUAGCUGUCAAACUUUUAAAUGGGGACUGUAAUCGGAUUUGUGCUAUUUGACUGUCGCUCCACAAAAAGACCCAAAGCAUGGUGUAGCUCCAGAAGGAUCCUUCCUUUUGACAGGUCACAGGUGUGUUUUAUAGUUUCUAACACUAUGUGAUAAAGCUGUUUUUCCACUGACAUAGUUAUUGGGUAAAAAUAUUUUCUGGAUGAGGAACAUGCGUGGUUGGCUGAGACCUUCAGUAUUGCAGUUCCCCAUUCUACCACUAGAUGCUGUUUGUACGCAUGGUCAGAACUGUUCUUUUAUUUAGGUACAUUUCUACUGACAAGUGCAGAAUGGUAAAUACCACACAAUGCAUUAAAUCAUUCCAACGCACAAAAUACACAUGCAUCUGUUUGUUAGUGUGGUUGAUGCCCUGGGCUUUAAAUCAGAGAUGGGGAAUUGUAGCAUUAACAACUCAUCUCCAUGCCAUGUUUUUCUUCAGCUCAGCAACUAAACCAGGUAACUUCAAUCAGCAGCACAGACAAUGAAUCUUGUUAAGUUGCUGAGCAGAACAAAAACAUGGCAUAGAGAUGACUUGUUGAAGCCACAACUCCCAUCUCUGCUUUAAAUUAUUAUACAUUCUGAGACUAUGUAUAUAUUUUGCAGAUCAUAGGUAAAACUGAAUAAAAAUAUUACGCUUCAGUCCUAAAAGUGCUCUUAAACAAUAUUAAUUAAAGCAGCAGAAACCAUCUAGCUUAACCUUAAACAGCAAAUUGCAAGUUGGAGACUCUCAUUAAGCAGCAGGCGUCUUGUGAGUUAACAAUGUGCCAGAGCAAAUAACCCUGGCUACACACAUUCUGCUGUAUUUUACCCUGACAGGAGAUGGAAUGUCUGCACGCAGGCUCUUUAAUCAGAUUACUUCAUCAGCUGAACUGAAGCUUCAUCAGAUAAUAAAGAUGAACAGUAGCAUUCCUUUCCCCAAGGUUCCUCAAAAGAGAACUUCUAAAAUAAACUAAAAGACGAUUUCAUAAUAUAAGUAAUCAUUUUAUAUUUCAGAAUAAUCCUUGAAGAAAAGAAGAUCUUACAAUUAAUAAUCACUAAAUAUUGCCAUGUAUAAUUAUAAAUGAUGAAAUGUUUCAUGAAUCUGUUCAAUGAUGCUAAGUAUGUUUACUGGAUUAGGUCACUCACACCAGACAAGAAGUAAGGCUAAAUUAAGAAGCAUUACACAUAAACUAACCUUGUUUCACAGACUCAGCAGCUCUGCAUCACAGUGUACGUUCUGAGAAUUCUUUAACUUUGGUAAUAGAUAAACAGCAGGCUAUAUAAACCAGCCGCUCUGCUUCUCCUUUGUUCAGUCCGAAAAUCCGACAGAACGAGAGUUUGGAGAGCAAGCGGAGGCCGGCCACCUCUUAGCAGAUCUCUAACUCAAAAGAAGGAGUUUGACACGCUGUCAAACCCUUAAACCUUUGCACCUGCAAAGCCGAGAACAACGAGAGAUUUUUCCUGCAGAACAAAGCUGAUUUUGCAACACUCCUUCAGAGUGGUUUUGAGACGCUUGGUUUCAUCCAGUCCACGUGUGUUACCUGGAGCGAUCCUGGACCGACCUGGUCGUACUAGGAGUUAGUCUACGGACUUCUGUACCCGGGGUCUCCAACCCCCUGACCUCUCGGAUCCGCAAGGGCAUCUCCACUUGGGUACGUAGAACACCGUUAGAUAGCGUCU